rnacentral:rRNA from 1 species
GCUCGAAGUCGCUAUGUCCAACCCGCAAGGGGACGGUGCCCUAAAGCAAGCUCCGGUGAUUGGGACU